ensembl:lncRNA
AUGCCUCCUUCCCGAGCCAAGACUCAGCAGAAAAAGGCUGGAAAAGAGAAGGUGUUCAAUUGUGAGAGAAACUCCUCAGGAGACUCAAAGAUCCACUGUGGGAAGCGGAGGGAAGGUAAGAGCAGAAGCCAAGUGAAGGGAAAAGAGUCACUGCCUGGACAAGGUGACAGCCUUGGAGAAGAGCCCUUAAAAAUCCAGAGGCUGGGGAGGCCUCAGGAAAGCAGAGAAAAUGACCACAAGAAGUUAUUCCGGAGAAAAAGAGCCUGCAGGAGAAAUGAUAAAAGUGAAUCUGCUUUGGGGAGAAAACAGGGAGUGUCCAGUUUGGAGGGGAAAAAUGGGAAGGCCUGCAAGCAACAGGAAAUGGCAUCAGGGCAGGAGAGUGAGGACAGCAGUGACAAGGAGGGAAAAGCCAUCACAAACAGAAAGAAGCAGAGUUUUAAAAAGAGGUGUGGAAAGAGACCUGGUGUUGGUGAAACAGGCACUGAGCUGGGGGCUGCAAAGGCCAUCAUAGGGCAAGGUGCUGAAGGUUCUUUUCAGAAAGAGAACUUGGCAGAGAAGGCACAGAACCCCAGAGGAAGGCACAGAGGGAAUCAGGACUCCAAGGAGACUUCUGAGCAGAAAUCAGGUUCUCAAUCCCAAGGCAGUACAGCACAGGAAAAAGGUGAGAGGAGUGGGAAAAAGCAAGCUGAAAAACUUGCCAGGAUUGUCAUUGCUGAAAGCGAGGAUGAAAAUAUUCUGGAAACCUCAGGCAACUCCUUCUCUGACUCCAGCAGUGAAGACCAUGGGACCCACAAAACAGAUACAGAGGAGGCUGUGGUGGGCAGCGCUUCCAGCAGUGAAGAGAAGAGCAGCUCCGCGGAAGAGAAGAGCAGCUCUUCAGAGGAAGAUGGCCACAGUGAGAAAGAAGUUGUGCUCAAAGAUCCUCCUGUGAGUGAAGGAAAAGGCUACAAGGAACUGGCUCAUGAAAGCAAGGAAGCAUCCAUUAAACCUGAAAGGGACCAGGUGAAUACAGAUGGAAAAAUCGAAUCUGAGGCUGAAGGCAUUGAAUUUGCAGGAUUGGAAGCAGAGGAGAAGAUGAGGAAGCCAGACAAUGUGCUGAGACAACCAAAAUGUGCUCCAGCUGAGAGCAGUGAGGCAGAUGAUCAGUUAAUCACUUCAGGACUCCAAGUUAAGAGUGUUAAGAACAGAGGAAAUACUGAAGUAGACAAGGAAAAUAUACUAGAAAAUGACAGAGUUGAAGAUAUGUCGAAAGAUGGACAUGUGAAUUCUGGCAGCAGUGAGGAGAGCAGCACUGCAGAGAACAUUGAUGAAGUAAAAGAAAAUGAACCAGAACCACUCCCAAAUGCUGUGAAAGCAAAACUCCACGUUCACCUUAGCAAAUAUGAACAGGAAGAGAAGGUGAAUGAUGAAGGCAGAGAGCUGCAAAAUGGCUCUUUCCUCUCCAAGCAGCAGAGGAUAUUGAAGGAGAAAUCUGGAAAGUGUGAGAUCCCAGAACAAGGUGAAGAGGCUGAACAUAGACAGAGGGACAGCUCAGACUGCAGCAGGCAGGGCCUACCAGCACUGGUGCUUACAAAGAAAUGUUCUUCUCGAUCCCAAAUCCCCCUCAGUCUGAAAAACCAGCAUAAAACCACUGAGACCAAACUAUCACCAAGCCAGAAACCAAAUCCUGCCCAGAUGGCUUUGGGAACCAGCUCAGACCUGAACAAUGUUGAAAGCAUCUGUUCAAAACCCAUGACUCUAGAAACUCUCAGUAAACAAAAAGAACCCAACAUAGCUCAGAGUAUUGAAGAGAAGAGAUUAAAUACUUCAAGCUGCUCCACCAUUACAAAAAAAACAUCUGAUAAGCACCUCCUUGGAAAGAAGAAGAAAGUUGGAAAAGAUGUUGGAAAAUUUAAACAGAGUUCAGGCCAGUCUACAAAGGCAAAAAAAGAGAAAGCGGAAGAAGUGGUUGCAGAGGCACCUUCUGAAACAGAACCCGUGCACGGUGGGGAAGGAUCCAAGCACUUGCACACCCGUUCUGCUUUUAGAAAAGUCACCAGCUGGCUUGGCCAAAAACCUGCCAAGAAAGUAAGGCUGAAAGCUCGACUGCUGAGUGUGGCACGUGCAAUUGGUAUCUCCAGAUGGCUCUUGAAGAAAUUUGGGAAAAAGAGGAGCAGCAAGCCUUUUGGAUUCAGAAGCAGAAUGGCAAUCCAGAUUCUGAGCACUGUGGGGUGGGUUGGUCAGUCUGGCAAAGCCUUCCCUGGUGCAGCUGGACAGCUGGGGAGGGCUGAGCCAAAGGACAAAGGAUCUUCUGCUUCCUUAGAGGAGGGCAAAGGUGGUUCUAAAAUGGUAGAGGAAGUGGGACAUGUUGAUUUGCCUCCUGGUGAUUCCCCUCUUCAUGGAAAAAGUUCCUUUCCAUGCUCGGAUGAGAAGAACGGUGCUACUGAUGCCAAGUGUGCUAUAGUGUUCCCCAGAGUCCACAGCUUGGUUAAGGCUAAGAACUCCUUGUCCAGGGACUCUGGCAAUGGUUAUUCCCUACAGAAACUGACAUCUCCAUCAGAGAGAAAAUCUGUCCCUCCUGUGCAACAGGGUUGCAGAUCCAAAUGUGACCUUCCCAGCCAGAGAAUCGGUGAGCAGGGCUUCCUCCCACAUCGAGAAGAGGAGCCAAUUCAUACAUCAGAUUAUUGCAGUGAGGUAGAUGUCAAGGAGGGCUCAGUCCUGCAGACUGCAGGAUCUGUGGUCACUCCUUGUGUGCACUGGUCCCAGCAGCAGGGGCAAGGAUGUGACCCUGCAGUGUGGCUGAACUCCGAGCUGCUGCUGCCAUGGCCAACCAUCGAGAACCUGAGCAAAUGGGCCCUGUCCAAGGACCCCCAGCUGGCCAGCAGCUGUGUGAGGGUCUGCAAGGACCAGUGGGAGGCAGAAGAUGUCACUGACAACGUGCUGGAGAUGGAGUUCACGCAGAAACAGGUACAGGUGUUGUCCCCAGCACUGGAAUGGAACUGA